UCCUGGGGUUAGAGUUGAGUGG
rnacentral:miRNA from 1 species